CCUACGGGAGGCUGCAGUCGAGAAUUAUUCACAAUGGGGGAAACCCUGAUGGUGCGACGCCGCGUGGGGGAAUGAAGGUCUUCGGAUUGUAAACCCCUGUCAUGUGGGAGCAAAUUAAAAAGAUAGUACCACAAGAGGAAGAGACGGCUAACUCUGUGCCAGCAGCCGCGGUAAUACAGAGGUCUCAAGCGUUGUUCGGAAUCACUGGGCGUAAAGCGUGCGUAGGCUGUUUCGUAAGUCGUGUGUGAAAGGCGCGGGCUCAACCCGCGGACGGCACAUGAUACUGCGGGACUAGAGUAAGGGAGGGGGAACCGGAAUUCGCGGUGUAGCAGUGAAAUGCGUAGAUAUCGAGAGGAACACUCGUGGCGAAGGCGGGUUCCUGGACAUUAACUGACGCUGAGGCACGAAGGCCAGGGGAGCGAAAGGGAUUAGAUCCCCAGUAGUC
rnacentral:rRNA from 1 species